rnacentral:snRNA from 1 species
GUGCACACUUUGGCAUCACACAUACUAAAAUUGGAAUGAUACAGAGAAGGUUAGCAUGGCCCCUGAACAAAGAUGACGUGCAAAUAUGUGAAGAAUUCUGUAUUUUU